rnacentral:lncRNA from 1 species
CUUCGAUCUCUUCAGCCGAACUCCCUCCUCAACUGAAUCUCAAUAUCCAGAGUGAAACUCACAUUACAUUUCACAAUUUUUAAUUCUAUAAGCAUACUGAUUAGUGAUUACUAAUUCGUUUACCACUGCCAGCACAGUAAAAUAUCACAGGGAAGGAUUACAUCAUAACAUAAUGUACCAAACAUGAUGGAUGCAACCAAAUUGUCUCAUUCAUCACCAUUGACGAAACUACACACCACCGAAAACAGACAAUCUAUAGUUCCAUACAAAUACAAAAGUUCACUGAGAGUCAAUGUGUUUUAUUCCUCAUGAUUACUUCCCUUAAGUGACCUUGAUGGCUAGCAUGACCGAUAAAAUCAAUUCUUUUGAGUCCCAUCAGGUUUCUACAUUCAAAUAAAGAGAUAGAAAAGUGUUAGACUGAUGAUGAAGCAAUACACAAAUAACCAAAGUCACCAAAGCAGUAAAACUUAAAUGUGACUAAAUUGAUUUAAGACAAAAGCAAGAAAUAAUUCUAGAACUUUCAAUUUCAGUCAGAUUAUUGAAUCCAUGUAUGAGAUAUUAAUAAAACGUGAACUUGGUGGAAGAUUCAACUACCCCUUAGAUUAGUUAUCUUUGGAAGAUUCAGCUACCCCUUAGAUUAGUUAUCUUAAGUGCACAACUGCACACCCUGAAGAUUAGCUAUAGCAUACAAAAUAUUUAGCAAGAAAAAAAUAUGUGUCGAACAUCAGCAUUUUAAAAGUGAAGAAUUUGGUUGCAGUCGUUUAAGGGCGAAUCAUUUUAUUAAACAUAGCAUUUAGUUGAUAGCAAAAUUGUGGAGAGAUGAAUGUAAGGGUUUGACUCAUUCUGUAAAUAUUCCAGUUGUUUAUAGUGUAAAAGAGGUGGUAGACAACUUGCAAUCCACUCCCCAGAAAGAGAAAGAAAAGGAAGGGUCUAUCUAGUUAGUACCGAGUCUAACAUCCCUUCCUCUUUCCAAAAAGGGUAAGGCAUAAAUUUCUAAAAAAAUGUGACAAAUCACAAAAUAACGUGUUCUGUUUUGAAGAAUGCUAUUGUAAAUACUACUACUCCUGCCUUACCAUUCCAAUUCCAUUUCUAGUUUCACCCAAUUUUUAAAGGAUAAUUCAAUUUCAUUGAAACUUGGGACAAAUUCCCAGUUUCACCAAAAGCUAACUCCACAUUCAAAAGAGUGUGUUUGUAGCUAGAUAAUGACUAAACAAUGAAGGCUUCCCCAUUUAAAAGAGUGUGUUGUCAUCACCACGUGCAAUACCACAUUAAGCAAAUAUAUGUUCAAACCUUGGUAAAAGAAACACAAUUCGAUUUGUCCAAGAACUUAAGAAAGCUAAAAGUGGUGAGACGAAAAAUAACAUCCAUCAUAUUCAUAUCCAAGUUACAGAAUAUUGGGAGCUACUUAAACAAAUUGUCAUUUAGCUGAACAUCUUCCUAAACUUUAAUGCGUGAAAUAAGCGUAAAAAAUUGAAUAAAUUUGAAGAUAUGAAUCAUAGGAACCAUCAUAUGAUACAACUUCAAAUAGCUUCAAAUCUAAAAAAAAAUAUUAAAAUUUGCACUAAACAGAAAUUAACAAAUCCAAAAAUACACCAAAUCAAAAGUUCAUAUUAGAAGUGGUAACUAACACAAUAAUAAUAGAUCACAAAUCUGGUUUUAAUCAGACCCAAAAUAUACAGAAAGAAAUAUUGAAAUCAAUAACCUAAAAACAAAAUAAUUUGGUACCUUGUUAUCGGCAUUAUCUGUAGGUUUCUCCGCCUUACCCUUAUCACCCGCUAGCUUCUGUUUCUCCAACCUUUCCCUCUCCCAUUUCUACACACAAAAAUCAACCGUUUCAGAAGCAAGAAAUUGGAUCUAAAAAAGGAUGAAGAAAAAGGGGGAAAUGAAGUACCUGAAUGUAGACGUUUUCUUUGGCUUGUUCUUCCUCGCUAAGAACCUUACCUUUGCCGCUGAAGAAGCGAGAAGAAGCUCCACGAGAUGUUGAAUCCAUUGAACGAGUCACGAUCCCUCGACUCAGUGCUGAUCUCAUUGCCAUUUUGAACA